GACGAACGCUGGCGGCGUGCUUAACACAUGCAAGUCGAACGGAAAGGCCCUGCUUUUGUGGGGUGCUCGAGUGGCGAACGGGUGAGUAACACGUGAGUAACCUGCCCUUGACUUUGGGAUAACUUCAGGAAACUGGGGCUAAUACCGGAUAGGAGCUCCUGCUGCAUGGUGGGGGUUGGAAAGUUUCGGCGGUUGGGGAUGGACUCGCGGCUUAUCAGCUUGUUGGUGGGGUAGUGGCUUACCAAGGCUUUGACGGGUAGCCGGCCUGAGAGGGUGACCGGCCACAUUGGGACUGAGAUACGGCCCAGACUACUCCGGGAGGCAGCAGUGCGGAAUAUUGCACUAUGGGCUGAAGCCUGAUGCAGCAACGCCGCGUGCGGGAUGACGGCCUUCGGGUUGUAAUCCGCUUUCGCCUGUGACGAAGCGUGAGUGACGGUAAUGGGUAAAGAAGCACCGGCUAACUACGUG
rnacentral:rRNA from 1 species